UACGUAGGAGGCGAGCGUUGUCCGGAGUUACUGGGCGUAAAGCGCACGCAGGCGGUCCUAUUAGUCUGGGGUGACAGUUCCCGGCUUAACCGGAAAAGGACUCUGGAAACUGUAGGACUUGAGGGCUUCAGAGGGAUGUGGAAUUCCAGGUGGAGUGGUCGAAAUGCGUAGAGAUCUGGAAGAACACCAAAGGCGAAGGCAGCAUCCUGGGAAGUUCCUGACGCUCGGGUGCGAAAGCCAGGGGAGCGAACGGG
rnacentral:rRNA from 1 species